rnacentral:rRNA from 1 species
UACGUAGGGGGCAAGCGUUGUCCGGAAUCAUUGGGCGUAAAGAGCGUGUAGGCGGCUCGGUAAGUCCGCUGUGAAAGUCUAGGGCUCAACCCUGGAAUGCCGGUGGAAACUGUCGGGCUAGAGUCCGGAAGAGGCGAGUGGAAUUCCUGGUGUAGCGGUGAAAUGCGCAGAUAUCAGGAAGAACACCCGUGGCUAAGGCGGCUCUCUAGUACGGUACUGACGCUGAGGCGCGAAAGCGUGGGGAGCAAACAGG